rnacentral:rRNA from 1 species
GCCCGCACAAGCGGUGGAGCAUGUGGUUUAAUUCGAUGCAACGCGAAGAACCUUACCUGGUCUUGACAUCCACGGAAGUUUUCAGAGAUGAGAAUGUGCCUUCGGGAACCGUGAGACAGGUGCUGCAUGGCUGUCGUCAGCUCGUGUUGUGAAAUGUUGGGUUAAGUCCCGCAACGAGCGCAACCCUUAUCCUUUGUUGCCAGCGGUCCGGCCGGGAACUCAAAGGAGACUGCCAGUGAUAAACUGGAGGAAGGUGGGGAUGACGUCAAGUCAUCAUGGCCCUUACGACCAGGGCUACACACGUGCUACAAUGGCGCAUACAAAGAGAAGCGACCUCGCGAGAGCAAGCGGACCUCAUAAAGUGCGUCGUAGUCCGGAUUGGAGUCUGCAACUCGACUCCAUGAAGUCGGAAUCGCUAGUAAUCGUGGAUCAGAAUGCCACGGUGAAUACGUUCCCGGGCCU